AAGAAUGUAGAUCUAGUGCGUAAGCACGAAAUAAACAACUUUCAACAACGGAUCUCUUGGCUCUCGCAUCGAUGAAGAACGCAGCGAAAUGCGAUAAGUAAUGUGAAUUGCAGAAUUCAGUGAAUCAUCGAAUCUUUGAACGCACCUUGCACCC
rnacentral:rRNA from 1 species